rnacentral:rRNA from 1 species
UACGGAGGGUGCAAGCGUUAUCCGGAUUUACUGGGUUUAAAGCGUGCGCAGGCGGUUCGUUGUGUCGGCGGUGAAAGCCCCGGGCUUAACCUGGGAAUGGCCGUUGAAACUGGCGAACUGGAGUGUGGCAGAGGGGGGUGGAAUUCCGCGUGUAGCAGUGAAAUGCGUAGAGAUGCGGAGGAACACCGAUGGCGAAGGCAGCCCCCUGGGCUAACACUGACGCUCAGGCACGAAAGCGUGGGGAGCAAACAGG